AAUUUUCAAAGAAAAGUACAUUUCCACUCUGGUUGAAAGAAAAUAUAGCGAAUGUUGGGAUAGAGGCAAGAAUUGAAUUUCCUCACUGCUAAGUUGGAUAAUUCUAUAUUAUCAGCCAAUCCAUUGAAGAAAGCUAGAGUUAAAUCUUUAUCCAAAAGGUAAGCUCUCACAUAGGAAGUUAAUGGCUAAUAGUGUGGUAUGGUUUGGCCAUGUCCCCACUCAAAUCUCAUCUUGAAUUCCCACAUGUUGUGGGAGGGACCCAGUGGGAGGUAACUGAAUCAUGGGGGCAGAUUUUCCCGUGCUAUUCUCAUGAUAGUGAAUAAGUCUCAGAAGAUCUGAUGGUUCUAGAAGGAGAAGUUUCCCUGCAUAACCUUUUUUUUUUUUUUUUUUUUUUGCCUGCUGCCAUCCAUGUAAGAUGUAACUUGCUUCUCCUUGCCUUCUGCUAUGAUUGUGGGGCCUCUCCAGCUACAUGGAACUGGUUACUCUGUCAUGAGUUACUGUAAUGGCCUGAGGUGUUUGGCCUCUAGCCAGGAGGUGGCACUUGCAAGAGAGCACCAACUGCAGUAAUAGAAGGGGGAUAUAAGCUUGUGCUAAGUUGGCCAGGAUAUAGAAAUAGGACAGACAAACAGAGUGGGACGAGAAAAUUCCUUCAAGAAUCACAGUUGUUGUGGAUCUCAAGGUGAUGCAGAUUCUGGCACAGAAAGGGAAGCACCAGCCCUGUUCUCUCCAUUCCACAUGGCAGUUCCUUCCUCUCUCAGGGAUGACUGCAGUCUUCUGCCAGGCCUGGGGUUUUCUACUUCUAGCCUGGGAACUAGGAGUAAUAAGCACGACAGAGCGAUCUGCACUUGCGUCGAAGAGCUGCAUUCCGUUCCAGUGGCUUUGGACUAGAAAAUCUCCUUCCCUGUUCAUUCAGCAAGAUGAGGCAAGAGUUGUCCUGGUCAUCCAACAACAUAGGGCAUAAAGGGUCUUCCCAUGUCAUCAUCUGCUGUUAUCUGGUACACUUUCCUCUCAACCUCCGUUCCUGUAGGUACACAUGCAUGACUGGACCUCAUCCCUUCUACCCACAGAACUCAACAGUCGUCUAUUUGAGAACCAGCAGGAGGUCAUAUUCUAUAUGUCCACAUAUGUAUCUGGGGAGACUGGCUGGCUGCAAGGCUUUGUAACCACCUUCCAGGCAGAUGACAAGAUGGAACCUUCUCAACAUACACCUCAGUUAAAAGUCAAGUCAAUAAAAGCCUGGCUGCAUGAAAGAGGAUGAUACAUAAAGACUGGCUGUAUACCUUUGUUUGAUCUGAGUAAGAAAUGCGUGCAUUCAAUGAGGCCACUGAGUUUAUGAUCAAACCUCCUCGUAAAGAAUAGAGCACAGAGAAACCCAUAUUCUUACCGUGUGACAAAUGAGACUGCGAACGUGGACCCUUCUUUAAAACUCCAGCUAAUUCAGGUUGCAGAAUGAAGUGUGCCAUGUCAUAAUUAAUCCCUCAUGUAUUGCAAGCAAUUUAAUGUCAAAAUAAUCAACAGGAGCGUUUUUUACCCUUUUGUGAGUACAUAAUAAAUACUGUCAUUUAGCUGCAGCAAACAUCGGGUUUCUUUCCUGGUCUUUGAAUAACACUCCUCGUGAGGUAAAUACCAGAUCUCCUUCUCCAUCUCCCCACACCCCCAAGCCCUACAAACC
rnacentral:lncRNA from 1 species